rnacentral:rRNA from 1 species
UUUAUGGAGAGUUUGAUCCUGGCUCAGGAUGAACGCUGGCGGCGUGCCUAAUACAUGCAAGUCGAGCGAACGGAUGAGAAGCUUGCUUCUCUGAUGUUAGCGGCGGACGGGUGAGUAACACGUGGAUAACCUACCUAUAAGACUGGGAUAACUUCGGGAAACCGGAGCUAAUACCGGAUAAUAUUUUGAGCCGCAUGGUUCAAAAGUGAAAGACGGUCUUGCUGUCACUUAUAGAUGGAUCCGCGCUGCAUUAGCUAGUUGGUAAGGUAACGGCUUACCAAGGCAACGAUGCAUAGCCGACCUGAGAGGGUGAUCGGCCACACUGGAACUGAGACACGGUCCAGACUCCUACGGGAGGCAGCAGUAGGGAAUCUUCCGCAAUGGGCGAAAGCCUGACGGAGCAACGCCGCGUGAGUGAUGAAGGUCUUCGGAUCGUAAAACUCUGUUAUUAGGGAAGAACAUAUGUGUAAGUAACUGUGCACAUCUUGACGGUACCUAAUCAGAAAGCCACGGCUAACUACGUGCCAGCAGCCGCGGUAAUACGUAGG